CGGAGGCCUGAGGGGACUGGGCGGCGUUGGUCACGUGACCCCAGGCCCCUCCCACUCGCCCUUCCUAAGGCUCCAGGCUGGAAAUAAGGGAGCUCUCUCUCCGAAGUGCUAGUGCUGCGUUGUCACAGCAACCCUUUGAGAGUGGAAGCACGAUGAAUAAUAAACUCCUUUUUCUACAGAAGAGGAAACCGAGGCCUGAGCCUUGGAUGGGAAUCAAAGACCACACUCUUCUAGAGGCACUGAAGAACGAAGUAACAAGGACAAUGAAAACUUUAAUCAGAAUAAUAGCAAAAGGUGCUGUAUUGAAGUCUGCACCAAGUACCGUGGGAUUGCCCUUCGUGAGAAUCCAGAGAACUUCUAGGAGAACAUGAUGUUUGAGUUGCGUCUUGAGGAUGAGGAGUUCAAAGAUAAAGAAAAGCAUACGUAGAGGUAAUUCCAUUUCAUUGCACAAAGAUAGGAAGGAGCAUGUAGUGUUUGAGGAACUGCAAGAAUUUGUGUGUGGCACAUGAUGGCAUG